rnacentral:rRNA from 1 species
UACGUAGGGGGGCAAGCGUUGUCCGGAUUUAUUGGGCGUAAAGAGCGUGUAGGCGGCCAUACAGGUCAGCUGUGAAAACUCGAGGCUCAACCUCGAGACGUCGGUUGAAACCGUAUGGCUAGAGUCCGGAAGAGGAGAGUGGAAUUCCCCGGUGUAGCGGUGAAAUGCGCAGAUAUCGGGAAGAACACCCGUGGCGAAGGCGGCUCUCUGGGGACGGUACUGACGCUGAGACGCGAAAGCGUGGGGGAGCGAACAGG